rnacentral:rRNA from 1 species
UACGUAGGCAGCGAGCGUUUGUUCGGAGUUACUGGGCGUAAAGAGUGCGUAGGCGGUUUUCUAAGUUUGGUGUGAAAUCUCCCGCUUAACUGGGAGGGUGCGCCGAAAACUGGAAAGCUUGAGUAUGGGAGAGGUAAGCGGAAUUCCUGGUGUAGCGGUGAAAUGCGUAGAUAUCAGGAGGAACACCUGCGGUGUAGACGGCUUACUGGACCAUAACUGACGCUGAGGCACGAAAGCGUGGGUAGCAAACAGG